rnacentral:rRNA from 1 species
UAUGUGAUCGUCUCUCGCAUAUCAAUAAGCGGAGGAAAAGAAACUAACAAGGAUUCCCCUAGUAACGGCGAGUGAAGCGGGAAGAGCUCAAAUUUGAAAUCUUAAAGGGUUUCCCUUUACGAAUUGUAGUUUAAAGAAGUGUUUUCUGUUGAGGUUUUGGUAAAAGUUCUUUGGAAUAGGACAUCAUAGAGGGUGAGAAUCCCGUAUUUGACCUUUACUUUCAACUUUGUGAUACACUUUCAAAGAGUCGGAUUGUUUGGGAAUGCAGUCCAAAAUGGGUGGUAAAUUUCAUCUAAAGCUAAAUAUUGGCGAGAGACCGAUAGCGAACAAGUACCGUGAGGGAAAGAUGAAAAGAACUUUGAAAAGAGAGUUAAACAGCACGUGAAAUUGUCAAAAGGGAAGCGUUUGACACCAGUGUUGUUUUUCUGAAAAUCAAUUAAAGAACUGUUUAUGCUAAGCUGUUUAGACUUUAUCAGCUAUCUGUUUAGUUUUGAGCUUUUCUUUAAUGCACUUUUCAGUUAACAAGUCAACAUCAAUUUCUUUUGCUGUAAAAAAGCUUGAGGAAGGUGGCUUGAGAUUCGUCUUAAGUGUUUAUAGCCUCUUGCCUAUGCAGUCGGAGAGAUUGAGGUCUGCAGCGUAGAUCCUUCGGGGCUAAAUGCAUUUGUGCUAAGUUAUAGCAUUUUAUAGACAACUUGUUGACUAUGAUUUGUCUUGUAGCUUACUCGCUUAUGUUAUUUUACCUACGCUUAGGAUGUUGAGCGCAUGUCUCUCUCU